rfam:Oryza rufipogon genomic scaffold, chr02
AAAAAGACAAACCCUGGUUUCCGUGCCGAACGUUUUCCGUCUUAUUUUGAAAAAAUUAUGAAAAAAAUUAAAAAGACAAGUCACGUAUAAAAUAUUAAUCAUGUUUUAUCAUCUAACAACAAUGAAAAUGCGAAUUAUAAAAAAAUUUUAUAUAAGACGGACAGUUAAAAUUGGAUACGGAAACCCAGGGUUUACUUUUUU